rnacentral:misc_RNA from 1 species
UUUCGCAGUAGCUCUUGUUGU